UAACACUUGAUGGAGAAGCAGGGCACGUGCGAGAACGCAAAAUGAGAUCGAUCGUUACGUGUACGUACUGAUCCUAUGUUCGCACGUGUUCUACUCCUCCAACACGUGUCU
rnacentral:pre_miRNA from 1 species